GGCCUGAUGGUCUAGUAGUAUGAUUCCUUGUUAGGGUUGAUUCCGGUCACGUGACUUUCGAGGAGGUCCUGGGUUCAAUUCCCAGUUAGGCCC